AGCGUACACGGUGGAUGCCCUGGCAGUCAGAGGCGAUGAAGGACGUGCUAAUCUGCGAUAAGCGUCGGUAAGGUGAUAUGAACCGUUAUAACCGGCGAUUUCCGAAUGGGGAAACCCAGUGUGAUUCGUCACACUAUCAUUAACUGAAUCCAUAGGUUAAUGAGGCGAACCGGGGGAACUGAAACAUCUAAGUACCCCGAGGAAAAGAAAUCAACCGAGAUUCCCCCAGUAGCGGCGAGCGAACGGGGAGGAGCCCAGAGCCUGAAUCAGUGUGUGUGUUAGUGGAAGCGUCUGGAAAGGCGUGCGAUACAGGGUGACAGCCCCGUACACAAAAAUGCACAUGCUGUGAGCUCGAUGAGUAGGGCGGGACACGUGGUAUCCUGUCUGAAUAUGGGGGGACCAUCCUCCAAGGCUAAAUACUCCUGACUGACCGAUAGUGAACCAGUACCGUGAGGGAAAGGCGAAAAGAACCCCGGCGAGGGGAGUGAAAAAGAACCUGAAACCGUGUACGUACAAGCAGUGGGAGCCUCUUUAUGGGGUGACUGCGUACCUUUUGUAUAAUGGGUCAGCGACUUAUAUUCUGUAGCAAGGUUAACCGAAUAGGGGAGCCGAAGGGAAACCGAGUCUUAACUGGGCGUUAAGUUGCAGGGUAUAGACCCGAAACCCGGUGAUCUAGCCAUGGGCAGGUUGAAGGUUGGGUAACACUAACUGGAGGACCGAACCGACUAAUGUUGAAAAAUUAGCGGAUGACUUGUGGCUGGGGGUGAAAGGCCAAUCAAACCGGGAGAUAGCUGGUUCUCCCCGAAAGCUAUUUAGGUAGCGCCUCGUGAAUUCAUCUCCGGGGGUAGAGCACUGUUUCGGCAAGGGGGUCAUCCCGACUUACCAACCCGAUGCAAACUGCGAAUACCGGAGAAUGUUAUCACGGGAGACACACGGCGGGUGCUAACGUCCGUCGUGAAGAGGGAAACAACCCAGACCGCCAGCUAAGGUCCCAAAGUCAUGGUUAAGUGGGAAACGAUGUGGGAAGGCCCAGACAGCCAGGAUGUUGGCUUAGAAGCAGCCAUCAUUUAAAGAAAGCGUAAUAGCUCACUGGUCGAGUCGGCCUGCGCGGAAGAUGUAACGGGGCUAAACCAUGCACCGAAGCUGCGGCAGCGACACUAUGUGUUGUUGGGUAGGGGAGCGUUCUGUAAGCCGUUGAAGGUGGCCUGUGAGGGUUGCUGGAGGUAUCAGAAGUGCGAAUGCUGACAUAAGUAACGAUAAAGCGGGUGAAAAGCCCGCUCGCCGGAAGACCAAGGGUUCCUGUCCAACGUUAAUCGGGGCAGGGUGAGUCGACCCCUAAGGCGAGGCCGAAAGGCGUAGUCGAUGGGAAACAGGUUAAUAUUCCUGUACUUGGUGUUACUGCGAAGGGGGGACGGAGAAGGCUAUGUUGGCCGGGCGACGGUUGUCCCGGUUUAAGCGUGUAGGCUGAUUUUCCAGGCAAAUCCGGAGAAUCAAGGCUGAGGCGUGAUGACGAGGCACUACGGUGCUGAAGCAACAAAUGCCCUGCUUCCAGGAAAAGCCUCUAAGCAUCAGGUAACAUCAAAUCGUACCCCAAACCGACACAGGUGGUCAGGUAGAGAAUACCAAGGCGCUUGAGAGAACUCGGGUGAAGGAACUAGGCAAAAUGGUGCCGUAACUUCGGGAGAAGGCACGCUGAUAUGUAGGUGAAGCGACUUGCUCGUGGAGCUGAAAUCAGUCGAAGAUACCAGCUGGCUGCAACUGUUUAUUAAAAACACAGCACUGUGCAAACACGAAAGUGGACGUAUACGGUGUGACGCCUGCCCGGUGCCGGAAGGUUAAUUGAUGGGGUCAGCCGCAAGGCGAAGCUCUUGAUCGAAGCCCCGGUAAACGGCGGCCGUAACUAUAACGGUCCUAAGGUAGCGAAAUUCCUUGUCGGGUAAGUUCCGACCUGCACGAAUGGCGUAAUGAUGGCCAGGCUGUCUCCACCCGAGACUCAGUGAAAUUGAACUCGCUGUGAAGAUGCAGUGUACCCGCGGCAAGACGGAAAGACCCCGUGAACCUUUACUAUAGCUUGACACUGAACAUUGAGCCUUGAUGUGUAGGAUAGGUGGGAGGCUUUGAAGUGUGGACGCCAGUCUGCAUGGAGCCGACCUUGAAAUACCACCCUUUAAUGUUUGAUGUUCUAACGUGGACCCGUGAUCCGGGUUGCGGACAGUGUCUGGUGGGUAGUUUGACUGGGGCGGUCUCCUCCUAAAGAGUAACGGAGGAGCACGAAGGUUGGCUAAUCCUGGUCGGACAUCAGGAGGUUAGUGCAAUGGCAUAAGCCAGCUUGACUGCGAGCGUGACGGCGCGAGCAGGUGCGAAAGCAGGUCAUAGUGAUCCGGUGGUUCUGAAUGGAAGGGCCAUCGCUCAACGGAUAAAAGGUACUCCGGGGAUAACAGGCUGAUACCGCCCAAGAGUUCAUAUCGACGGCGGUGUUUGGCACCUCGAUGUCGGCUCAUCACAUCCUGGGGCUGAAGUAGGUCCCAAGGGUAUGGCUGUUCGCCAUUUAAAGUGGUACGCGAGCUGGGUUUAGAACGUCGUGAGACAGUUCGGUCCCUAUCUGCCGUGGGCGCUGGAGAACUGAGGGGGGCUGCUCCUAGUACGAGAGGACCGGAGUGGACGCAUCACUGGUGUUCGGGUUGUCAUGCCAAUGGCACUGCCCGGUAGCUAAAUGCGGAAGAGAUAAGUGCUGAAAGCAUCUAAGCACGAAACUUGCCCCGAGAUGAGUUCU
rnacentral:rRNA from 1 species